GACUCCAUGGGCCUCAGUUUCUCCUCUGGUAACGUGAGCUUCGCUUCCAGAGACGGGGACCCGCCUUGCCGGGUUAGGCGCACCUCCUGGGGCGGGACUGGCUCCAACCUGGGCCCCUUACUGCGGCUUUCUCUGUGGCCGAGGCCAGGCCGUCCCCGGGGUGGCCAGGAGAGCACCGUAAACUCUUCAGCCUGCUCCGUGGCCGCGAUCUCGGAAAAAGCACCAAUUCUGUGAUGUGCAGCAGCAUUUACUGGGCAUCUAUGACCCUGUGAUAGGCUUUGGGGUCUUUUUCUGUAAGGAGUCCAGUAAAGGAGAAGUACAUCUGUAUUAUGAACACCUAAAUAUGGCCCAGGAGCUUUUUUCCUGUUGGAAUUGGGGAGCAUCUGCAGUCAUUUACCACAUGCCAGCUUUGUGACUCAAUUAAGUAUCUUUUACAAAAGUGACUGGCUCCACUCCCCCGCACAGGACUCAACAGAUGUUGACUUCUCAUCCCCGAGUUCUUUCAGGCCAAAAAGCAAAUGGAUUUCCACCUGACAAAUCUUCGGGAUCCAAGAAGCAGAAACAAUAUCAGCGGA
rnacentral:lncRNA from 1 species